UACAGAGGGGGCAAGCGUUGUUCGGAAUUACUGGGCGUAAAGGGCGCGUAGGCGGCCUGCUAAGUCGAACGUGAAAUCCCCGGGCUCAACCCGGGAACUGCGUCCGAUACUGGUUGGCUUGAAUCCGGGAGAGGGGUGUGGAAUUCCAGGUGUAGCGGUGAAAUGCGUAGAUAUCUGGAGGAACACCGGUGGCGAAGGCGGCAUCCUGGACCGGUAUUGACGCUGAGGCGCGAAAGCCAGGGGAGCAAACGGG
rnacentral:rRNA from 1 species